AUCACCAGGUUGAUUCUGCCAGUGAGAUACGCUAGUUUAAAGGACUAAGCCAUGCAAGCGCGUUCAGAGGAAUCGAGACAGCGGACAGCUCAGUAGGACGAUUAUGAUACCACCUACGCGAAAGGAAUAACCGAGGGAAACCACGGCUAAGCCGACAAGCGACAGCACGUAAGGGUAGUGUUGCAGAGUAGGAGUAGUGAUUGAUCCAUCAGCCAGAUGGUCGGGUAAUGGCCAACCAUAGCAGCAACGGAUGCGGGGGAUGAAAGUUCAACACCGGAGAGGGAGCCUGAGAGAUAGCUACCAGGUCCACGGAUCGCAGCAGGCGCGAAACUUGCCCAAUGUGAUAUAUGAGGCAGCGACGAGAAGUUAUCUUCGGAUAAGAGUCAAUAGUAGAGAGAUUGACAUAUACUUGAGGGCAAGUCUGGUGCCAGCCGCCGCGGUAAUUCCAGCUCAGGGAGCGUAUAGCAGGUAUGAUGCGGUUAAGAGGCCCGCGGUUUUUUAGUGACGAAAGAAAGACCGAUAUAGCAGUUGGUAGACAGUCAAAUCUUACGGAGCUGGUAGGGAUGGAGGGAGUCCAUGGGGAGGGGUGAAAACCGGAGAUCCAUGGAGGCCGAAGCGAGGCGAAAGCGUCCAUCCGGCCAGUGUCUGUGGACCAUGGGCGAAGGCUGGGGGAGCGAAGAUGAUCAGAUACCGUUGUAGUCCCAGCAGCAAACAGCCCAGCGCCGUGGGGAAUUAUAUCCACGACGAGACGAAAGAGAAGGGUUCCGGGGGGAGUACUGUCGCAAGACUGAAACUUGAAGGAAUUGACGGAGAGGCACACCAGGAGUGGAGCCUGCGGCUUAAUUUGACUCAACACGGGACAGCUUACCAAGCGAGGCCGUCAAGAUGAUCCAGUUUUGGAGAUAUGACGAGCGGUGGUGCAUGGCCGUUUCCGCCGGUGGGGUGACCUGUUCAGUUUACUCUGAUAACGGGCGAGGCCUUUAUUUUGUAGACGCCUCUUAUGCAAGAGGGGAAGAAAAGGCAACAACAGGUCCGUGAUGCCCCUUGAAGGCUUGGGCUGCACGCGGGCUACAUUAGACACCAUAACGGGGGGAAAUUAAAGAAAAAAGUGUCUUAGCGGGAUUGUGGCAUGUAAUAGCCACAUGAACGAGGAAUUCCUAGUAGGGUUGUUUUAUGAGAACGAACCGACUGCGUCCCUGCCUCUUGUACACCACCGCCCGUCGUAUACUUCCGCGUCUUUUACAUGCAAGUAAUACGA
rnacentral:rRNA from 1 species